UGUUCAUGUGACUUUGGAUGCGUUCCUCAAUUUCUUUCAGACUCAUUUCAGAGUCCAUAAGACCAACGACGAUCAUGUUGACUUCCCCCUGUUGUAAAGAUGACAUGACAUGGAAGACGUAGGGUUUCAAGCCCAGCACCCAGAACAUGGGUGUCCCUCCCUUCCUCUCCGGCUCUUCCUCAGUUAUUGACUUUGACCAUAUUCUGCUAGAGUUCUCAUCUCUCCAGGCUGCUGGGGCUCAUCUUCCGGGGGCUGGUUCUCACCCACAUUGGCUCCACCUUUGAUUAUUUCCGGUUGGCCUUUUGGUCUCCAAUUAGCUCAGACACAUCUCUCUCCCUCUCUCUUUCAGUGGGUGACGGGGUGCCGCAUGAAACUACCCCCGCUGGAGCCAACCCCAAGGCAGAGCCACGCUCUUCCCUCGGCCAUCUCCUCUGGCUGCAGACUGUGUAAGGGAGGGCGGCCAGCCCAGACUCACAAGCUGGAGUAACUUCACUAGGUCUCCCUGGGUUCCUAACACAGCUGAAUGUCUACACGCAUCAGCAUCCCCUGAAGCCAAGGAUAUCUUGCUAUGAGGUGAGGAGGCUGUAGGGGAGAGAUGGCAGACCAGCAGCAGCCCCACGGCCUCUCUCCCGCAGAGGACCUUCGAGCCCCAGCCUCACACGGCCCUUGUGCAGGUAUUGAAUUAUGAAUGGAGAUCGCCCAGAAAUAAUUGCAAACAUUAUUGCCCCUCACACACGUGUGUCCUCUGCAGGGCUGCAGCAAUAGAUUUUGUUGCUUUAACUCUCCAGGGUAGUUAUAAAUUAGAGCUCUCACUUUACUGUGGGGUAGGGAUCCUGGGGAGAGGGAAUCCCGUUUGAAAGCCCUAAAAGGGAUGGACCCCUCAACCGUGUGCUUUGGUUACCCUCAACUUUUCCUUUCGUUUGAUCUAUUCCACCCAUCCCUAUUAAAUAACUAAUUAUUUAACAUCUUUUAAAGCUUUGUUAUAUAUUAGAACAGGCAGGACACAAAUGAGUGCUUUUAAUAAUAUAAAAGCCCAUUAGCUUCAUUUACUGUUAAUGUUAAAAUAAACAUGAGGCAAUUUAGAUAUACUAUUCCA
rnacentral:lncRNA from 12 species